GGGUGUACCGCAUCAAAAGGAAAACAAAAAAGACGAAACAAGUCGAGCGAAAUCCGAACGAGACCAGCGCGAGCUCAGAGUGAGAGAGACGCGAGCGAGAGACCAGCGCGAGCGAGACCAUCUUCUUCAUCGAGCGAGCGUCCUCUUUGUGGUCCUUUUCGUCUCUGUGGUUUCGAUUUCUAGGUUUUCUCCCAAUAUCAUAAGUUUUGAUUUUGAGAAACGACCUUGAGGCUAGU